rnacentral:rRNA from 1 species
GAUGAACGCUAGCUACAGGCUUAACACAUGCAAGUCGAGGGGAAACGACAUCGAAAGCCUGCUUUUGAUGGGCGUCGACCGGCGUACGGGUGAGUAACGCGUAUCCAACCUGCCCACCACUUGGGGAUAACCUUGCGAAAGUAAGACUAAUACCCAAUGACGUCUCUAGAAGACAUCUGAAAGAGAUUAAAGAUUUAUCGGUGAUGGAUGGGGAUGCGUCUGAUUAGCUUGUUGGCGGGGUAACGGCCCACCAAGGCGACGAUCAGUAGGGGUUCUGAGAGGAAGGUCCCCCACAUUGGAACUGAGACACGGUCCAAACUCCUACGGGAGGCAGCAGUGAGGAAUAUUGGUCAAUGGGCGAGAGCCUGAACCAGCCAAGUAGCGUGCAGGAUGACGGCCCUAUGGGUUGUAAACUGCUUUUAUAAGGGAAUAAAGUGAGUCUCGUGAGACUUUUUGCAUGUACCUUAUGAAUAAGGACCGGCUAAUUCCGUGCCAGCCGCCGCCGUAA